rnacentral:rRNA from 1 species
GGAAUAUUGGACAAUGGGGGAAACCCUGAUCCAGCGACGCCGCGUGGGUGAAGAAGGCCUGCGGGUUGUAAAGCCCUUUCGGUGGGGAAGAAACGCCUCGACCUAAUACGUCCGGGCCUUGAUGUAACCCACAAAAGCAGCACCGGCCAACUCGGUCCCAGCAGCCGCGGUAAUACAGAGGGUGCGAGCGUUAAUCGGAAUUACUGGGCGUAAAGCGCACGUAGGCGGCUCUGCAAGUCGGGUGUGAAAUCCCCGGGCUCAACCUGGGAACUGCAUUCGAUACUGCAUUGCUGGAGUAUGGGAGAGGGAAGUGGAAUUUCCGGUGUAGCGGUGAAAUGCGUAGAUAUCGGAAGGAACACCAGUGGCGAAAGCGACUUCCUGGACCAAUACUGACGCUCAGGUGCGAAAGCGUGGGGAGCAAAC